ACUCAAAUGAAUUGACGGGGACCUGCACAAGCGGUGGAGCAUGCGGUUUAAUUCGAUAGUAAGCGAGGAACCUUACCAAGUCUUGACAUGUACCUGCAUAUAUCAGAGAUGGUAUAGCCUUCGAGGGUGGUACACAGGUGUUGCACGGUUGUCGUCAGCUCGUGCCGUGAGGUGUUCACUUAAGUGUGAAAACGAGCGCAACCCCUAUCGUGUGUUACAAGUGUCACACGAAACUGCCGGCGUCUAAGCCGGAGGAAGGCGGGGAUGACGUCAAAUCAGCGUGAUUCUUACGACUUGGGCGACACGCGUGCUACAAUGGGAAGUUACAAAGGGACGCCAAACCGUAAGGUGGAGCAAAUCCUAUCAAACCUUCCCCCAGUUCGGAUUGAGGGCUGCAACUCGCCCUCAUGAAGUUGGAAUCGCUAGUAACCGUAGAUCAGCCUCGCUACGGUGAAUACGUUCUCAGGUUUUGUACACACCGCCCGU
rnacentral:rRNA from 1 species